rnacentral:rRNA from 1 species
GACGAACGCUGGCGGCGUGCUUAACACAUGCAAGUCGUACGGUAAGGCCCUUUCGGGGGUCCACGAGUGGCGAACGGGUGAGUAACACGUGCGUAACCUGCCCACAACUUUGGGAUAACGCUAGGAAACUGGUGCUAAUACUGGAUAUGUGCUCCUGCUGCAUGGUGGGGGUUGGAAAGCUCCGGCGGUUGUGGAUGGACUCGCGGCCUAUCAGCUUGUUGGUGGGGUAGUGGCCUACCAAGGCGGCGACGGGUAGCCGGCCUGAGAGGGUGACCGGCCACAUUGGGACUGAGAUACGGCCCAGACUCCUACGGGAGGCAGCAGUGGGGAAUAUUGCACAAUGGGCGCAAGCCUGAUUCAGCAACGCCGCGUGCGGGAUGACGGCCUUCGGGUUGUAAACCGCUUUCAGCAGGGACGAAGCUUUUUGCGACGGUACCUGCAGAAGAAGCACCGGCUAACUACGUG